rnacentral:lncRNA from 14 species
ACGGAAUCUCUUUUGGAACAGUAAUUGGCAUUCUAUUCUUCCCUCAGAUCCACUCUUGUUCCCCUCCAUGCUAAGAGCAUUUCUUACCUUGGCUCUGGCUUCCCGGGUAGCCUCAGCCUCAGCCGCCAUGGACCUCUGCAGCUGCACCGGAAUCCGGACAUCUUUGAUCUCCACCCGGGCCACUCGGAUUCCCCAUAGCUCAGUGGCAUCAUCAAGCAAGACCUCACCAAGUGUUCCAGACGUCAGUGCACAGGCUUCUCAGACAGACCUGGGUUUGUCCUGGCCGUACAAUUAGCAGCUGUGAUUCACUGCAUCAGCUUGAUAACCCUCGAUCAGCUUGAUAAUCUCAAGUUUCCUCACCUAGGCUUCCUGUCAGCGUUGGAGGUAACACACAUAAUGACCUCCUGACCCCC